GCAUUACAGCCCUAAAGGGGGAACCGGGUGUUUUAGCUGAUGUGCAGAAAGGAAAGUUUUCAACUGAAGAUUUAACAAGAGGAACCCCAGAUCUAGACCAUUUCCCUCGGGGCCGGAUGUUUAGCCCACCAGGUUGGCUGAUCUCCUCCGGUGGGCUUUAAACUAGGUUCGUCAGGGGAAGGGGAGGACAAGGCCAGAGGGAUCCAUGGAGCACUGAACCAUGAGAUACCCACAAGACCAGCCCAGGAUCCUCGCCACUUGGAGACCACUCAUCAUUUGGGGCAUCCGCAAGGACCUGGCUGAUACACUGCCCUGGCUGCACGUACCUGGUGGACACUGAAUGAGUGGAACUGACACUGGCUCAGCCCUUUCACUGAGCUGGCAGCUUGACCCUUCAAACACCAUCUUGCCAGGGCAAGCUACAUUCGCAGGCAUAACAAGCAGGGUCCGGCCCCAAACAGAUGGCAGCAGGAGCAGUGGCACUGGCAGAUGCUGCCAUUCUUAUGCCCCCUCUGAGUGCGCACCUGGUGCUGGUGCCUUUUUUUACACUUCUGGCUAAACCUCUGAGAACCCCUGGCUGGAUUAUUGCAAUACCUAUCUAAACAUGAAAAGGAGGAGGAGCUAAACUACUGAAAAAUGUCCAACUAGAUCUAGUAAAAAAUGUUCACCCCUUCCUGAUUGUUUUCCAUCAUAACAUGAGCUUUCAUCACUGCAGAGUUGUUCCACAGGAAGACGACUGUCAGUGACAUUCUGGGUUUUCCAAAGCAGCCUUUCAUGCCCAGAUGUCUUAUUUUGAACUGUCCGGACGAACAGGAACAUUUCAUCUCAAACACUUUGACGUGAAGCCUUUCAGUCUGAAUCAGCCUUGACAUUUCCAACUCCAACAUUUUUGGGAAGACAUGAUGUUUCCUGGGAAAUGGGGUGACUUGUCUUCUUUGUCCUGCUAGAAGAUGAAAACAAAAUGUUGAAAUAUUAGAAUUCCCCACAGGAUGGAAACUCCGCUCUCCUACAGCUCUUGUCCAGCUACUACAAAGCACAACGGCCCAUCUGCUCUCCGCAGGUCAGUGAGAAUGUGUCACCCGGCUGCUCUGCUCUCUGCACUUGCUCGCACUCAGUGGAGUCCAGUUCAGUGGUCCCAUCCAACGGCUUUUGCUGUGAUUAGCCCUGCCUAUCUGUGAGAUCCUCUCUCCCCCUGUGACCGUGACCUUCCAUGACAGCUACAAUUUACUGGCACAAUAAAACUGUUGACCGGGGCAGGAUUGAGACUGUGGAACUUAAUCCUGCAAGAGUUCAGAGAUUAUAGACCUCACUGCACUCAGUCACAUGCAACCCUCAGCUCACGGCUCUUUAUGCAAGCAUAACACGCCGACUCAC